rnacentral:rRNA from 1 species
UCGCCUGUUUAUCAAAAACAUCGCUCACAGGUCCCCUACUAUGAGUAAAACUGCCCUAUGAUAGUAUUAAAUGGCCGCGGUAUCCUGACCGUGCUAAGGUAGCAUAAUCACUCGCCUCCUAAUUAGAGGAUAGUAUGAACGCUUUUACACGAUGCCAACUGUCUCCCUAUAACCCCCUAAACUUUAUACUGAGGUGAAAAAGCCCCAAUAUCAUAAAAAGACAAACAGUCCCUAGAAGCUAUAUCUCUAACUCUCCCCACACGAUAAUAACCAGUUUAGCCGGGGCGGCAUAAUAUUAUAAAUAAUACUAACACCAAGGCCCAUAAGCCCCAGAAAAUAACCCCAUCAAAAGAAAGCAAGCUACUCUAGGGUUAACAGGCUUAUUACUUCUCAAAAGUGCACAUUAACAGAAGUGUUUGGCACCUCGAUGUUGGCUUAGGGAUCUUCCCCCCUGCAGAAGGGGGGAAAGGGGUUUGUUCAACCCUUAAUCCCCUACAUGAUCUGAGUUCAAACCGGAGA